CAAGGAGCUGUCGUAAAACAUAUACGAAUGGUAUGCAUUCAGCUUGCGUGAGUAAGUGAGAUACAGAAUAAACAUAGAAAUUAAAGAUGUACCCAGAAUACGCAUCCAUCAGUAUAGCAAGUCUUAUGUCACAGGAGGUCUGAGGUUCCUUCAAAUCCACUUUGUAUUUUUUAACGCACAGAACUCCAGAUGGACUGUCAUAUGAAC